CUUCGACUUUAUGUCUCAUCCUCACAAACUGACUUUAUUCUGCAGUCUGGAAAACGUGUGAAUUCGGAACUGACACGUCCAGCACCCACUUCUCUUCUUAUAGUUUGUAAACGAGUUACUGAACCAACUUUCUACUCUGAAGUGAGCUGUUCUCAGUGCGUCCAGUCAUCGAUCAUCUGCCCCGAUGCCAGAAACGGUGUCAUAAUACGAUAAUGCGGCUUCACACAUUCAGCGGUGAUUCCUGUGGUAAAACCCGAGCGUUAGGAUCCGAUGGGACAGUUUUACAGGCAUGAAAUGACUAUCAAAGGCUCCCGCAGUCUGGCCGCUGAGGCUUCGAGGCACGGACACAGGGAAGCCAGAAGGCACGGACUUUUACGCACAGAACACGGGAUCAAAUAAUAAACUGUGCUGACUUGUUUUCGUCCACUUUGCUGAUUUAUUUAUUUGAUGCAUCUCUCUCAACCAGCCCUUCCAGCAGCAUUUGUCACCGGCACUAUUAUUUCAGGUGUGCUAAUGGUGUCGCAGACACUUUUGCAGAGAGAGGAAGAGACAUGAUGAAGUGAAAAAGGAGGACAGGAGAAACUGAAGAGCAGGAGGAAAAGAGUAUCAUCGUCAUCAUCAUCAUCACUUGAACUCCCCACUCCCUGUAACCCCAAAAAAAAAAAAAAAAUCC